GGGUCUACCCAUUGGUCAGGCUUAAUUGUCUGCACUGGUCAAAUUGAUUCCUACCUUCUGACGAACCACGAUGUCAUUAAUUUGGUGUCGCGGGAAAUCAGGACUGUUACUUUGAAAAAAUUAGAGUGUUUAAAGCAGGCUCGCGCUUGAAUACAUUAGCAUGGAAUAAUGAAAUAGGACGUUUGAUUCUAUUUUGUUGGUUUCUAGGAUCGACGUA
rnacentral:rRNA from 1 species